UGGGAAUAUUGGACAAUGGGCGAAAGCCUGAUCCAGCAAUGCCGCGUGUGUGAAGAAGGUCUUCGGAUUGUAAAGCACUUUCGACGGGGACGAUGAUGACGGUACCCGUAGAAGAAGCCCCGGCUAACUUCGUGCCGG
rnacentral:rRNA from 1 species